rnacentral:rRNA from 1 species
GCACAAGCGGAGGAGCAUGUGGUUAAUUCGAUGAUACGCGAGGAACCUUACCUGGGCUCGAACGUAAGAUGACUGUAGGUGAAAGCUUACAUCUCUUCGGAGCAUUUUACGGGGUGCUGCAUGGUUGUCGUCAGCUCGUGCCGUGAGGUGUCGGGUUAAGUCCCAUAACGAGCGCAACCCUACCUUUAGUUGCCAUCAGGUAAUGCUGGGGACUCUAAAGGAACUGCCUACGCAAGUAGUGAGGAAGGCGGGGAUGACGUCAAAUCAGCACGGCCCUUACGUCCAGGGCUACACACGUGCUACAAUGGCCGAUACAGAGGGCAGCUACCUGGUGACAGGAUGCAAAUCUCCAAAGUCGGUCUCAGUUCGGAUCGGAGUCUGCAACCCGACUCCGUGAAGUUGGAUUCGCUAGUAAUCGCGCAUCAGCCAUGGCGCGGUGAAUACGUUCCCGGGCCUU